rnacentral:rRNA from 1 species
AUUGAACGCUGGCGGCAGGCCUAACACAUGCAAGUCGAGCGGAGCGGCGGACGGGUGAGUAAUGCCUAGGAAUCUGCCUGGUAGUGGGGGAUAACGUACGGAAACGGGCGCUAAUACCGCAUACUAUCAGAUGAGCCUAGGUCGGAUUAGCUAGUUGGUGGGGUAACGGCCUACCAAGGAGACGAGCCGUAACUGGUCUGAGAGGAGGAUCAGUCACACGGGAACUUAGACAGGGUCCAGACUCCUGAGGGAGGCAGCAGGUGGGAAUAUUGGACAAUGGGCGAAAGCCUGAUCCAGCCAUGCUGCUUGUGUGAAGAAGGUCUUCGGAUUGUAAAGCACUUUAAGUUGGGAGGCGUUACCAACAGAAUAAGCACCGGCUAACUUCGUGCCAGCAGCCGCGGUAAUAC